UCAAGAUGCGUGCCUGCCUUUUUCUGUUGUGGAGUACUCUCUCAGCUACUUGGACAAACCAAAUAAUUGUGACCCAGACACCUGGUGUGGUGAAGAUGAUAGCCAGUGGCACGGUGACUUUGAAGUGCCACGUUGAUCAGAUUCUCGCCUUUUGCCACUCAGUGACUUGGAUGAAAGUAGACGCCAGGACUGGAACAAUGAGCACAAGAACUAACGUAAAGAUUAAUACGACAUCUGAGGUAGGGAAACGGGACAGAGUAUGUUCGGCAACCAUCACCAACGCAUUAGUGAGCGACUCUGGCAUGUACUACUGUUUGGCUGUUCACUCCAAGGCGGUCCACACUGGCAACGGAUCCAAUCUAAUCGUCACAGAGAGCAGCACUGAAUCCCCAAACAUCAAAAUCGUCUCAUCAGACAGCGACGGCUCCUCCGCCGCUCUGCUGUGUUUGGUGUCUGGAGUGGUCCCGUCUCAAGUCCAUGUGUUCUGGCUCAUAGACGGGAGAGAGGACAGUGGACUUACUGAGUCCACCUGGACAGACAACAGUGAUUCAGCCACAGAGUUCACUAGGAACCAGAUUCUGGUCAAAGCAGAGGAGUGGGACAGAGGAGCAGAAUGCACGUGUGUGGUAGAGUUCGAAGGGCAGUACAUCAACAAAACCGUGCAACACAAUGAUUUCUCCACAAUGUGUUACACCAUAGUGAGUCUCUACAGGGUUCUGGGAAUUGUGUCCGCUCUUCUUCUUCUCCUUACACUGAUUGCACGGGUACAGCUAUCCUGCAGGAGCAACAAUUCAGGCAAGCGUAAGAAAAGCAACAGAAACCCCCCAAACUAAAGAAAAGGAGAGCUUUGGGAUUCUGUCUUCAUUGUGAAAACUUCAGGAAACCAACAUUCAGAAUUUGAGGGCUUUGAGUGAAUCAGAGGGCUUCAUACCAACUAGGAAGACGUUAAGUAUGUAGUACGUUUUCACUGGGUGUCGAAAGGCUAUAGAAUUUUUACGUGACUUCUUAUAAAAAAAAUCCUUUUCACUUUGCUUUUGAUUUCAUUACAUGAAAAUUGUCAGAUAAGCAAUAUGCAUAAAAAAUAAAAUGUGUUGGAAUAGCCCAAUUCUUCCAUAAAGUGAUAUCCUGAAAGUACUGUAGUGAUGAAAUGUUUUUUUUCCCUCAUCUUGUGUCACCAUCUCAAAACAUCCAGUAGAUAUCAGUGUUUACUCAAAAUCUACAACCUACCCUUCCUGUCACUUGUGCGUCCAUUGUAGUGACACUGAUUGAAUGAAGAAUAGCGCCGAAGGAGAUGGCUGCCAUUUUAUAAUCCCAUAACCAAUUGUGCUAUUGUGUAUACUUUUUUGAGCUAUUUGUAACUUUUUAAAAAGUAAGCAUUUCACUGUCAGGUAUUCGGCACAUGUGACAAAUUAAAUUUGAUUUGAGAUAGGCUGGAGCUUUUUUAAACUAUUCUAAAACAUCAGGUAGAAAACUGCAUUAACCAAGUUGUCUGCAUCAACAUUUAAACAAACUAGCCAUCAUUUUUUUUUACUAAGUUUUUAUUUCUGUGAUGGGUCUACAUUGCCCCAUGCUGUAUCAUAGUGUAGAAGUGUUUAAUUGUGUUUUUAUUUUUUACAGUUGACUAAAAUCAGUGUAACCUUUUAUUUAACAAAAAGGACUACUGUACUUUGUAUUGAGAGUAUUAACAUUUCAUUACCUAAAUGGGAAUACUUUUGUUCAGUCUUGCCAUUACUUACUUGAUUUUACCAUGACUUAAUCUAAAUGCAUCAUUUUCAUUAAUUAGCCAGGGUGAUU
ensembl:lncRNA